UACGUAGGGGGCAAGCGUUGUCCGGAAUCAUUGGGCGUAAAGCGCGCGUAGGCGGCCCGGUAAGUCCGUUGUGAAAGUCAAAGGCUCAACCUUUGAAUGCCGACGGAUACUGCCGGGCUAGAGUACGGAAGAGGCGAGUGGAACUCCUGGUGUAGCGGUGGAAUGCGCAGAUAUCAGGAGGAACACCUAUAGCGAAGGCAGCUCGCUGGGACGUUACUGACGCUGAGGCGCGAAAGCGUGGGGAGCGAACAGG
rnacentral:rRNA from 1 species